rnacentral:rRNA from 1 species
GUCGGAAUUGCUAGUAAUCGCGGACCAGCAUGCCGCGGUGAAUACGUUCCCGGGCCUUGUACACACCGCCCGUCACACCAUGGGAGCCGGUAAUACCCGAAGUCAGUAGUCCAACCUCGUGAGGACGCUGCCGAAGGUAGGAUUGGCGACUGGGGUGAAGUCGUAACAAGGUAGC